rnacentral:rRNA from 1 species
AGCCUACGGGGCGCAGCAGUGGGGAAUAUUGGGCAAUGGGGGAAACCCUGACCCAGCGACGCCGCGUGAGGGAAGAAGGUUUUCGGAUUGUAAACCUCUGUCCUUGGUGACGAUAAUGACGGUAGCCAAGGAGGAAGCCACGGCUAACUACGUGCCAGCAGCCGCGGUAAUACGUAGGUGGCGAGCGUUGUCCGGAAUUACUGGGUGUAAAGGGAGCGUAGGCGGCUUGGCAAGUCUGAUGUGAAAGGCUGGGGCUCAACCCCAGGACUGCAUUGGAAACUGUUAGGCUGGAGUGUCGGAGAGGG